rnacentral:rRNA from 1 species
AGUGGCGCACGGGUGAGUAACGCGUGGAUAAUCUACCUAUUGGUACGGGACAACAGUUGGAAACGACUGCUAAUACCGUAUACGCUGGAAACGGGAAAGGGGGCCUCUUCUUGAAAGCUCUCGCCAGUAGAUGAGUCCGCGUUUCAUUAGCUAGACGGUGGGGUAACGGCCUACCGUGGCAACGAUGAAUAGCAGGCCUGAGAGGGUGGCCUGCCACACUGGGACUGGAACACGGCCCAGACUCCUACGGGAGGCAGCAGUGGGGAAUAUUGCGCAAUGGACGAAAGUCUGACGCAGCGACGCCGCGUGGAGGAUGAAGGUUUUCGGAUCGUAAACUCCUGUCAAGAGGGAAGAAACCUAUUAAGAAUAAUACUCUUAGUAAUUGACGGUACCUCUAGAGGAAGCACCGGCUAAUUCAGUGCCAGCAGCCGCGGUAAUACUGAAGGUGCAAGCGUUAAUCGGAAUCACUGGGCGUAAAGCGCUCGUAGGUGGCUUUGUAAGUCAGAUGUGAAAGCCCACGGCUCAACCGUGGAAUUGCAUUUGAUACUGCAUCGCUAGAGUAUAGGAGAGGGAAGUGGAAUUUCUGGUGUAGGAGUGAAAUCCGUAGAGAUCAGAAGGAACACCGGUGGCGAAGGCGACUUCCUGGACUAUUACUGACACUGAGGAGCGAAAGCGUGGGGAGCAAACAGGAUUAGAUACCCUGGUAGUCCACGCCGUAAACGAUGGGUACUAAGUGUCGGAGGCUUGACCUUCGGUGCUGUAGUUAACGCGUUAAGUACCCCGCCUGGGGAGUACGGUCGCAAGGC